rnacentral:misc_RNA from 1 species
CUUCACCAAUUGGUAAAACUAACAGUCCAAAGGUUUCAACUACACCGAAAAGUAUGCAGAGAAGAGUAUUGGGUAUAGUAUAAGGUCGCAAGAUAAAAAGUUAAUGAUGCUGGAUAGCAUGUGUCAUGGAUUGGGUCACCUUGUCUCUAUAGCAGUUGAGGUGAACUUUAGACACACAAUUUACAACCAAAAUUUUAAGAUAGAAAAAAAUUAAGCCAAGGGAUAUGGUACCGAAAGAUUGGUAACAGACGUACGAAUUUGGUUCUGUAAGCCUUUUUAAGCAUUUAAGAAGGGUAGUAAAUCUCAUUGAACACGAUCUGCGUAUAUUGGAUAUACCAAUUGGAGUAGGAUCAGUUUAUCUUGACAUGUUUUUACACGUCAAUGCGUGUAAGUUGUGACGUAGCAAAUGCUAUAAAUGGUAGUGCAAUUUUAAAGUUUUACCUAUUCGUUAUAGGGUCAUUUACAGGAGUGAGACGCUUUGCUAUCAGAAAAUCGGCAUGUCUACAAGAAGUUCACGCUUGUCGGAGAAAGGUGCUGUGUAUCUCAAUUAUGGAUUUGACGAUACGUCAUCUGGUGAUAGCAAAUGUGCCAAAGAGACUUCAGUUGCGGAUAAUUCCAAUCCAUCGGUGGCAAUACAAGCGGAAACGUAACAUAUGGAGGUUUCCAUUCGUGGCCUACGAGAAUGGUGGCGGUGCCUUUUUAGUCCCUUAUCUAAUCGUGCUGGCCUUCAUUGGACGACCGCUCUAUUUUCUCGAGAUGGUCUUGGGACAGUUUUCCAGUUCAGGAUCUGUUAAAAUUUGGGAUUGUGUACCGAUUGCAAAAGGUAUUGGAUAUGGGCAAGCACUGGCUACCUGGUGUGUCGUCACAUAUUACUGCGUCCUGAUGGCGCUGUCCUUCUUCUACCUCUUUGCUUCAUUUCAAGCCGUGUUGCCCUGGACGGAAUGUGACCCAGAAUGGGCCACUGAGAAUUGCUACAGUACCACAGCUAAUCUAUCGGUGUACAACCUGACGAAUGAGAGUGUAUCUAGUGCAGAAGAAUAUUUCAAAAUUUAUGUAUUGAAGAAAAUUCCAAAUAUGGAUUCUGGGAUAGGUGUUCCAGAUUGGCGUUUAACACUGUGCCUUCUACUUUGCUGGAUUUUAGUAUUCGCUAUGCUAGCUAAAGGAGUUUCUUCAUCAGGAAAGGUGGCCUACUUUACAGCUCUCUUCCCUUAUGUUGUGCUGAUCACGCUGCUAAUAAGAGGAUGCACUUUACCUGGAGCGGGCGAUGGUAUUUUAUACUUUAUCACACCUGAUUGGGAAAAAGUCUUGACACCAGAUGUUUGGUAUGCAGCGGUAACUCAGUGCUUCUUCUCUCUCUCUGUGGGGUUUGGACCAAUUUCUACAUUUUCGAGUUAUAAUCCAUUCCGUCAUCCAAUUUACAGAGAUUCAACGAUAGUCAGUCUCGCUGAUACUUUUACUAGUAUUCUAGCUGGAGUUACGAUUUUUGCAAUUCUCGGUAAUUUAUCUUACGAAACAAAUCAGCCUAUUGAGAAUGUCGUCGAAGGAGGCACGGGAUUGGCGUUCAUUUCCUACCCAGAGGCUAUUUCGAAAUUUGAUUCUGUCCCCCAGUUGUUUGCCGUGCUGUUUUUCCUGAUGCUCAUAACACUGGCUAUCGGUAGUGCCUCCGGACUUGCUGGAUGCAUUAUUACAAUCCUUAGUGAUGAUCUCCUUCAGAUUCCUCGAUGGAUUAUCACAGCAGUCGUUUGCGCGGCCAGUUUCCUUAUUGGACUUGUCUACGUUACACCGGGAGGCCAGUAUAUUCUAGAUCUGGUCGAUUACUUUGGCGGUGGAUUCAUUAUUUAUGUAAUGGUGAUCGCUGAAACCAUUGCUGUAUGUUGGUUUUACGGUCUUGAGCAAAUCGUCAAAGAUAUUCGUUUCAUGUUGAGUUUUGGUCUGGGAAUUUAUUGGAAAUUAACUUGGUGUAUUUUCAUCCCAAUUGCCCUUGCAGUCAUUUUCAUUUAUGCAAUGGUUGUCUAUGAACCGUUAAAAACGGAUGAUGGGGAACCUUACCCUCCUUCAGCAAACGCCGCUGGAUGGUUGGUGGCUGCCAUUGCUAUUCUCCAGCUUCCAAUCUGGGCUGCUUACGUCAUUCACAAACAAAAGGGAACAACCUGGUUUCUGAGAUUUAAAGCCAGUCUUCUACCAGCAGAGGAAUGGGGACCUAAAGACCCUGAAACUAAACGGCUCUGGUUAGACUACAACAAGCAGUUCGUGCGCUUCAGUUGGAUUCCCAAUCCAAAGUGGUUAAGCAACUGUAAAUCACGUUGAAAUGUUUGUAUAAAAGAAACCUCUUAGAAAUUUAUUUCCAACAUAAAUUAUAUUGUGCUCAAAACUAUAGAGUUUAAACCAUUUUUAAUAGCGUUAAAUUCUAGAGAUGGAAUAUGAAAUCGCCAAUGUGACAAUGCUUCAUAUUUGAAAAAUAAUUAAAUAGCAGAAAAGAAUGUCAGACAAUACGAAUUUUCAUUUCGCAACUUGACGGACAGGGAUAAAGUAGGAAAAACAAUUUAAACUAUAGAACAGUUUUUGACGUUAUUAGAAUUAUUACGCAAUUUACAGGAUGGUACUUGCAAUUGGAAAUAUUACAAACACAGCUUCUAGAACAGACAGUAUUUAGAAGGAUGUAUAAUGUGAUGUUAUGUAGAAAAUUUAAACACAAUACAUUUGCAUGCGGACAGUAACAAUUUUGUUUUACAUAAAUGUUUUUCAUGUAUAAAAAAAUGGCAUGCAUCUUCUCGAAUUGGCAGGAAAAGAAUA